GUUCCAGCCGCCGCGGUAAUACGUAGGGUCCAAGCGUUAUCCGGAAUCACUGGGCGUAAAGCGUGCGUAGGUGGAUGUUUAAGUGUGAUGUUAAAUCGUGUGGCUCAACCAUAUCGAUGUGUCGCAUACUGGGCAUCUAGAGGACAGCAGAGGCAAGUGGAACUGGUAGUGUAGCAGUGAAAUGCGUAGAUAUUACCAAGAACACCAAUGGCGAAGGCAGCUUGCUGGGCUACUCCUGACACUGAGGUACGAAAGCGUGGGGAGCGAACAGGAUUAGAUACCCUUGUAGUCC
rnacentral:rRNA from 1 species